UACGUAGGGGGCUAGCGUUGCUCGGAAUUACUGGGCGUAAAGGGCGCGUAGGCGGCCAUUUAAGUUAGAGGUGAAAGCCCAGGGCUCAACCCUGGAAUAGCCUUUAAUACUGGAUGUCUUGAGUUCGGGAGAGGUGAGUGGAAUGCCGAGUGUAGAGGUGAAAUUCGUAGAUAUUCGGCGGAACACCAGUGGCGAAGGCGACUCACUGGCCCGAUACUGACGCUGAGGCGCGAAAGCGUGGGGAGCAAACAGG
rnacentral:rRNA from 1 species